rnacentral:rRNA from 1 species
AACGAACGCUGGCGGCAUGCCUAACACAUGCAAGUCGAACGAAGGCUUCGGCCUUAGUGGCGCACGGGUGCGUAACGCGUGGGAAUCUGCCCUUUGGUUCGGAAUAACAGCCGGUAGCGGAUGCUCAUACAGGAUGAUGACGAACGGCCAAAGAUCUAUCGCUAGAGGGUGAGCCCGCGUUGGAUUGGGCAGUUGGUGGGGUACUGGCCUACCAAGCCGACGAUCCAUAGCUGGUCGGAUAGGAUGAUCAGCUGGGCUGGGACUGAGACACGGCCCAGACUCCUACGGGGGACAGCAGUGGGGUAUAUAGUGCACGGAGCGCAAGCGUAGUCCAGCAAUGCGGCGGGUGUGGUGAAGCCCCUAGGGUUGUAAAGCUCUUUUACCCGAGAAGAGAAUGACUGUACCGGGAAAAGAAGCCCCGGCUAACUCCGUG